AAUGGACGAAAGUCUGAUGGAGCAACGCCGCGUGAGUGAAGAAGGGUUUCGGCUCGUAAAACUCUGUUGUUAAAGAAGAACAUAUCUGAGAGUAACUGUUCAGGUAUUGACGGUAUUUAACCAGAAAGCCACGGCUAACUACGUGCCAGCAGCCGCGGUAAUACGUAGGUGGCAAGCGUUGUCCGGAUUUAUUGGGCGUAAAGCGAGCGCAGGCGGUUUUUAAGUCUGAUGUGAAAGCCUUCGGCUUAACCGAAGAAGUGCAUCGGAAACUGGGAAACUUGAGUGCAGAAGAGGACAGUGGAACUCCAUGUGUAGCGGUGAAAUGCGUAGAUAUAUGGAAGAACACCAGUGGCGAAGGCGGCUGUCUGGUCUGUAACUGACGCUGAGGCUCGAAAGUAUGGGUAGCAAACAGGAUUAGAUACCCUGGUAGUCCAUACCGUAAACGAUGAAUGCUAAGUGUUGGAGGGUUUCCGCCCUUCAGUGCUGCAGCUAACGCAUUAAGCAUUCCGCCUGGGGAGUACGGCCGCAAGGCUGAAACUCAAAGGAAUUGACGGGGGCCCGCACAAGCGGUGGAGCAUGUGGUUUAAUUCGAAGCUACGCGAAGAACCUUACCAGGUCUUGACAUACUAUGCAAAUCUAAGAGAUUAGACGUUCCCUUCGGG
rnacentral:rRNA from 2 species